rnacentral:rRNA from 1 species
AGUCACUGACAUUAGAUACCCGCGUAGUCCAGGGUGUAAACGCUGCAGACUUGGUGUUGGGAACCCUUCGGGGGUGCUCAGUGCCGGAGAGAAGUUGUUAAGUCUGCUACUUGGGGAGUACGUCCGCAAGGAUGAAAACUUAAAGGAAUUGGCGGGGGAGCACCGCAACGGGAGGAGCGUGCGGUUUAAUUGGAUUCAACGCCGAAAAACUCACCAGCAGCGACUGUUACAUGAAAGUCAGGUUGAUGACCUUACUAGAUUUUCAG